GACGAACGCUGGCGGCGUGCUUAACACAUGCAAGUCGAACGGAAAGGCCCUGCUUUUGUGGGGUUCUCGAGUGGCGAACGGGUGAGUAACACGUGAGUAACCUGCCCUUGACUUUGGGAUAACUUCAGGAAACUGGGGCUAAUACCGUAUAGGAUCUCCUGCUGCAUUGUGGGGGUUGGAAAGUUUCGGCGGUUGGGGAUGGACGCGCGGCUUAUCAGCUUGUUGGUGGGGUAGUGGCUUACCAAGGCUUUGACGGGUAGCCGGCCUGAGAGGGUGACCGGCGACAUUGGGACUGAGAUACGGACCAGACUCCUACGGGAGGCAGCAGGGGGGAAUAUUGCACAAUGGGCGGAAGCCUGAUGAAGAAACGCCGCGUGCGGGAUGACGGCCUUCGGGUUGUAAACCGCUUUCGCCUGUGACGAAGCGUGAGUGACGGUAAUGGGUAAAGAAGCACCGGCUAACUACGUG
rnacentral:rRNA from 1 species